AUGUCGCUCCGUGAUGAUAUUGGACUAAACCUCUGAAAAUUCCCUUCUCAUGCUUUCCCUGGAAUCUUGGAACCAGAUAAGGGAAGUCUCUGGCAAGCAGCCCUACCCAGGUGCUGUUCACACGGACGAGGAGUCUGCUUGACACAGCUGUUGGCAGGCGGCUGCUCCUGGCCAGCCCCAACUUUGAUUUAUUGUCCUUCAAGUAAAUACCAGUAAAUAAAUGACAGAAGUGCUCUUCCUCCCCCA